GAUGAACGCUGGCGGCGUGCCUAAUACAUGCAAGUCGAGCGAACAGAUGAGGAGCUUGCUCCUCUGACGUUAGCGGCGGACGGGUGAGUAACACGUGGAUAACCUACCUAUAAGACUGGGAUAACUUCGGGAAACCGGAGCUAAUACCGGAUAAUAUAUUGAACCGCAUGGUUCAAUAGUGAAAGACGGUUUUGCUGUCACUUAUAGAUGGAUCCGCGCCGCAUUAGCUAGUUGGUAAGGUAACGGCUUACCAAGGCAACGAUGCGUAGCCGACCUGAGAGGGUGAUCGGCCACACUGGAACUGAGACACGGUCCAGACUCCUACGGUAGGCAGCAGUAGGGAAUCUUCCGCAAUGGGCGAAAGCCUGACGGAGCAACGCCGCGUGAGUGAUGAAGGUCUUCGGAUCGUAAAACUCUGUUAUUAGGGAAGAACAAAUGUGUAAGUAACUAUGCACGUCUUGACGGUACCGAAUCAGAAAGCCACGGCUAACUACGUG
rnacentral:rRNA from 1 species